rnacentral:pre_miRNA from 1 species
AAUAAAUACAGUUUUACACUAUUUAUAUCUUUUUUUUACGAUUAGUAUUUUUAUUGUUGUUAGAUGAUAAAAUAUGAAUAGUACUUUAUGUCUGACUAAUUUUUUUAACUUUUUUUUCAUAAUUUUUUCAAAUAAGAUGGAGGGUCAAACGUUGGACACGGAUAUUCACGGCUGCACUUAAU